UACGUAGGGUGCGAGCGUUGCCCGGAUUUAUUGGGCGUAAAGGGCGCGCAGGCGGCCACGCACGUCCGUUGUGAAAUCGCUCGGCUCAACUGGGCGGGGUCAGCGGAUACGGCGUGGCUGGAGCAAGCUAGGGGGCAAUGGAAUUCCCGGUGUAGUGGUGGAAUGCGUAGAGAUCGGGAGGAACACCAGUGGCGAAGGCGGCUCGCUGGGCCGGCCCUGACGCUGAGACGCGAAGGCGUGGGGAGCGAACGGG
rnacentral:rRNA from 1 species